UGUUUAAUAUAUAUUCUGCGACCGUUUAAAUUAAUAAAAGAGGUAUGAUAGAACAAACUCCCCUUUUUGAAAUUAGGUUUUAUCCAAUGCAACCCCAUGCGCACAACAUCCACUCAGUAAGCCAUUUCUGAUGUUGGCUGUGUAAAGAGAAAUACAGCAUCCUUUAAUGUGAAUUGAUCCUGCUUUUUAAAACGGAAAUUUGAUUUUCUAUUCAAUUUCAAGAUAAAUCAUCAAAAAUGGUGAAGAGAAGAAGAAGUUCCAGAACCCCUUCUCCAAGGAAACUUGAUAAACAUCCUCACCUUCAGUUAAAUGACAGUUUGGAAGAAUAUCCAAGAAGUGAAUUUGAAAUUCCGGAAUGUGCUCCAAUUACUCCAAAUCGAAACCCCCCUCCUGCUACAGAACAAGAACUUGAUCCAAUCAAAGAAACAUUUGUAUUUUUAUCAUUCAUAUUCCUGAUAUUACUUAAGCUUGGCAUAUAUAGUGUAUUCGAUUUUGAUUUUUUGUUUUGAUAUCUUUUUAUUAAUUUGAUGUAAUUGACAAGCAUGUUAUGUAUGCCCCAUUGUUGUUAUUAAUACUUUUACCUAAAUAUUUUUAAAAUUGAUCUUGUGAUAUUGAAUGUGUUGAUUAGUUAAUUAUAGCUCAAUUUAACACAUUUUCCUAAAGUUUACAAUGUAUUUAAAUUUUGUUUAGAUUCCCUGAAAUAUGUCUUGGUGUUUCAUAAAAAUAUAUAUAUUGUUGUCUGAAAACUCGAGACUUAUUAAGUUAAGAAAAAUAUUUAAUGCUUCACUUGCUAAAACAAAUCAAAACUAAUUUAUAUAAGUUUACAUUUAAUGGUGUAAUCUGUAUAUUAAAAUUAAUCAGUAAAUAAUGCAGUUAAUUGGUAUAAUACCUAGUACGUUAAAAUUAAUCAUCUAAAUUGGUACACUGUUAGAAUUUUCAUUCUGAAAUUAUGGUGAAAUUACAGACAACAGUCUGACCAUCCAAUUAACCUUAAAGUUUACAGUUAGGAACAUUUCUUUUAGGUUUUGAAACUUUUAACAACUGGUAUAGUUAAAAAACCAUAAAAAUGAAAUGUAACUAGGCUUAGGAGUGAGGUUAUGUUAGGCUUAAGAGUGAGGUUAUGUUAGGCUUUUCGUUAGGUAAUGAGCAUGGAGUUCAAAUGUGGUUGAGUUGUGUUUUGCCAAAUGAAUGUGGCUUAAGAAGUGUUUGUGAUGGUGCCAUCUAUCGUAAGAAUUAGGAAAUAUUAUAUUCUUUUGUGCCAAGCAUCUAUGCGUGAAUGCGAGUUUACUUUUCUAAUAGUUCAGGGUCACCAAUUGGGGAGAGCAGGACACUGGAAACUCUUCAUUUGUUGAAGAAAUGUCAAAGCUGUGAUGCGAACGCUGUACAGUUCGUCAUGAAAGUGACAGAUUAGCCCUCUCGGCUACAGUGAGCACCCAACUGCAAAGAAGCAAGUGGCUUCACAUUGUGGACUUAGUGAGCACUAUUAAAAUUCUCGUUGUUUAACUGUAUAAGGGGAAAACGGUCAGUAAACAAUUUUUCUUACUCAUAAUAGUUUCAAUAACAUCUUUUUAUGGUUAUUUGACUGUAGUGAUUGAAUAUG